AUGGCUGUCUUGGAUAGGGGGGCCUCGAGGAAGGCCCUCACCUCCUUGUGCAAGCUUGUUUCCUGGGAGUUUUGGAAUGAGCAUAACGCAAGAAUUUUUAGGAAUACCGUCGCCACUGCGACCAUUGUUACCGCGGGGAUCAAAGAGGAGGCCCUUUUUUGGGCGCUUGUGGGGUGCUCAUCAUUUGUGUAA
rnacentral:rRNA from 1 species